GAUGAUAUGAUGGUUUUUUAAAAGUUGUCUAUAACAGUAUGGUUUUUAAAAAGUUGUCUAUAACAGUAUUGCCUACUCUUGUAUUUGUAUUUUGUAAUGACCACACUUUUCCCUUUUAUCUCUAUUAGAAAAGACAGUAUUCCAUUGGGUUCUCAGGCGAUAAUCCUCCUUUUGAAGUUCUCCUCCACUUGAAAGACUGUCUAAUUUAAAAAAAGGCAGGGCCAGAAGAAAGGAGAUCAUGGACCUUGAAGAUGCCCAUCCAAUAUGAGCACCUGAGGAGCAGAAUCAGUAGCCUUAUGCAUAAUCAAAUGACAAGUGCUUGCAAGUGACCAGUAUUAAGUGUGGUUAUUUGGAUCUGGUGGAUGUCCAGUGCUGUUCCUGUGUCCAGCUGUGUUGCCACCUGCUUCUGUUACCACAGGUGCAGCAAAACAGCCUAAGCUGCUAGCUCAUUUUGGACGUAUCUGCGCACUCCACCUAGAUACUUAUCAGUCUCUUUAAUUAAGUGGAGGGAAACAUCUAUAGGCCAUGCCCAUAAAGCCAGACCUGGUGAGAGUGGAGCUGCUGGAAGCCGCCAACAAUUUCUUACUCCCACAGACUGGGGUCAUCAUCCAAGCACUACCCCCACAAUCAUCUCAAGUGCUACUGUGAGGAUUCGAAAUGAAAGCAAAGUAAUCGAGAGCAAAGGGAAAGGCAUCACUUGCAAUAAAAUGUUGCAGCGUAGGGAAAACUCCACAGAAAGAGUACAGGGGUGAAAAGAUUUUAAAAAGACCAGCGUGGAAAAAUGUGAAUCAGCAGAAGAAGAGGGGUGGGCCUAGAAACAGUGGUUUAUUUGUUUAACCUGGUAAGGUUGCAUACCAUUGCUAUGAAAUACAUUAAUGGUGUGCAGAAUUGUGUAUAAAUGUGUUUGUGGGGUUGAUGCUGAUGCUGCUGUUUUUUUGGACUACAGAACUGUGUUCCUCCAGCACUGUUCAUCUUGAGAGUCAGAGAUAUACUGUAUAUCAAUUCUCCGAGACUUCAGCCACUGUUCUGAGAUCUAGCCUUGUCUUUUCUCUUCCUCGGCACCCUCUUUCCUCUUAAAUUGC